CUCCUCCUGGACCUUCCCUGAGCCCACUGUGCUCAGUCAGGGAAGGUGGUCCUCACCAGUGUUUCUGAUGAGGUUCUGAGAGGGAUGUCUCCUGCCCGUGGUGGCUCAGCGGGUCAAGGAGCUGAUCCAAACCGCAGCUCUCCCUGGCAGAGUGGGCAUCUGCCCAGGCUCCCCAGGGCAGCCCGCCUCCCCAGGACAGCGUGGCCCCUUCAGGUCCUCCUCCAGGCCCUGAUUAGCACAGCCUCUGGAGGCAAGCCUCCCAGAUCUGAUGGAACGGGCGCCGUGCUCUCCCGCGGGGGCGGCGGAGGUCAGGGGAGUCCUGGGGCUCCACGUUUUGACCAGGUUCUCAGAAACCUGUGUCUCUGUUCACUGGGGCCAAGGACAACCCAUGAAAGGCGCAGGGCGGGGCUGCAGCCAGGCCUCCGGACCCAGUCCACCCAGGGCUCUGGUCCUUUCCGCUCCCACAGCAGGUCUGAACCGGGCAGUGCCCUUGCUGGCUCUGAGGAGGGCUGGGCCCGGGCAUUUCCCCACUGUCCCCCCGGGGACUCCGUGGCUCCAGUUCCCAUGGGGUUAUCACCCCUCAAACACCUGCCUCCAGCCGUGAAGUGGGAGCCAGUGCAGCCUGAAGGCCUCCCGCUUCUGCCACUCCCAGCCACGCCGUCAGACCACUGAUCUGUCGCUGAUGCGGUGAGACCCCCGGCUCAAGCCCACCGAGAGCCCCCUCUCUGAAUACUGCUGCACUGGAGACCAGCCCCUCAACACAGGAGCUCUUGGGCGACACUCCAGAUCCAAGUCACUGCACCGACUCUUAUCCCUUCUGGAGAGCUGGCCAGCGCCCAGGCAGCUCCCUGGAGGAAACCCUGACCCCUGACGGUCACUGUUCUGUGACUGGCAGAAGCCCUGCUCCGUCCCCUCACCCCCGGGCCCAGUCCCAGUCUGUCACCUUUUCCACAUCUUCUUCAGGGAGCGGAGGGCGGCCUGGCCCGUUAGGGAGAGCCCAAGGCGUGCACGGCCGUGAUGGUGCAGGAGGUGAGGCUUCCGGGGGCUCGGCCCGUUGGGGACAGAGCUGUCUGUAAGCUGAAGAAGGCAAGUGCCCUCAGAGGAGCCUUCGUGUGGUCUGAGUGUGUGCACACGUGAGCAGUGUGAGCGUCCAGAGAGACUCGUCAUGCCAGCUCUAACUUAUAAACCUGGUGUGCUGGAGGUUGGCAAAGGAGAACCGCGAGACCUUAGCCAGCUUCCCCAAGUGACCUCGAGUUGCUUUUGAAGCAGGAAUUCGCGAGCUUCCGCCCCUGUCUCCUCCAGCUGGCUUUGUAAAUAGAGUUUACUGACACAGCCUCCUGCGUCCCGUGCCCACCCUCUGUGGCUACUUUGUCACGGCAGCAGAGCUGGGCAACUGGGACAGAGACCAAGAGCCUGCAGGACUGAAGGGCUUUAUGGUGUGGCCCUUUGUGCAGCAUGUGCCCACUGGUCACCCGCUAGAUACUCACACAGCACACCACACACCACGUACCAGGAAGUCUCACCUACACACACGUACACACACACGCAGUAGGUACACACAUCACACACGUCACACACUAUGUACGCACAGAUACCCUCCUGCCUGAGGGGCUGCCCCGGCUGGGCAGUGUGGCUCGGCCACAGGAUUGGCUACUGCACUGUGUGAGCGGCAGACAUCUAGACACAGAGCUCCCUCUUCCGUAGUUUUCUUGUAUCCUUCAUGACCUGUCACUUCUGGGACCAUGUCCAGGACAAUCCUUGUAAAUAUUGCAUGCCAGAUUACCACUCCUGGACGUGGAGUGGCUGUCACAGAUGUGGAAUGGUGUACGCACUGAGGCCACAGGACACCUUGGUGGAGCACUCCGCUGCCACCUGAAGACAGACCGCUGGUUCCUCCAGGGUAGCUGGGGGAAUAGCCUCUAUUGCCCCACCUGUGAGAUGAAGGGCAGUCUUGGUGGCCUGUGGGGGCCCCUCCACUGCUAAUUACCCAGUUACUGGCAUUCUGGGUCAGUAUUAUUUUUUUUCUCAUUUUUUAAUUUGUUAGAAAAAAAAAAUGAGUGACUGGGAAAGGUUGGCUUGCAGCCUGAUGCAGUAACUGGCUGAUCUUUCCCUCUCCAGGCCAAAGCCUGCAGCCCUGGAGAGAAACUGAGAAGACCCCGACUCAGAAGGGGGACAGCGGAUAGCCCAGGACGUGGUCUGAGGAGAAGGAAGGAGGGCCAUGCUGGGGCUGUUCCUGCUCUGUGAGAAUUCAGCUCCCUCCCCGGGGGAGGCACCAGGCAGAAGAGGGGUCUUGCCAGGUUGAGAAGACAGAGGCGGACCCUGGCUGAGCUGGGUGCCUGGACUUUGCAGAGAAGAGAGUGGGGAGUCAUAUAGAAAGAACUCCAGGAAUCCACACAAGCACAGGACGGAAUCCCACCACUUAGGCGAAGCUGUAAACUGAAACUUUCCAGAACUUGCAAACACACUAGAUUCCUGUCAAGCCCAAGAAAAGAGACACAAGAAAAAAAUGGGAGGAUUAAGUAUGGAUCCUAAAAGGGGCAUCGCUUAGGAGAGGCGCUGCCUUAGCCUCGGAGUAGAUGCCACCCCAACCUGCCCUAGUGGCCCUAAAACCAGGUAUGGAAAGGGUGGAGUUACCCUGUUACUCAAAACAGUACAGCGUUCUCAAGAGGGGAAGAUGGUGCAGACAUUCAGCAGUCACCACCACGAUGUUCAGCAGCCCUCAAACCUCACCAGACACCGGAAGCCCAGGAGGUGACUCGAGGCCAGGAGCCAAGCUGGUCCACGUGUGCUCUCCACAGAGAGAGGGUGGAGUCCGCCUUCGGAAUGUCCAAGCAGCAGUUUAGAUACAAUUAGGGAAGGAAGGAAGAUUGGAUAUGAGGAAGAAAGAGAAAGAACUGGAGUUGUGGAAAUAUUAUCUGCACAGGAGAACCCUCUGGAUGAACUUAGCAGCCGUUAAAUAUUGCAGAAGCAAGGGUCACUUGAUUUGAAGGCUUCCUGGUAGAAUCUAUUUAAAACGAAGCAGUUAGGGGGAAGAAAGGUUAAAAAAUGAACAAAGCCUCAGUGACCAAGGGGACAGUUCAGGUCAAUGCAAAUGUCCGUACACAGAGAAGUGGAGGCCCAGCCCGAGAGCAGGCAGAAAAACCUUGGAGAGAACGACUCCGUUGUUUUCUGGUUCGAUCAUAUUGGAAAACCAGCACUUGGGUACACAGGUGGGUAUUUUACCCUGUGUUUCAAAUUCCUGUGGAAUGUGAGACGCUCACACCAUCACACAAAAGAGCAAAAGGCCCCAAGGCCACUUCUCAAAAGAAGAAAUACAAAUGGCCAACAAAUACCUACAAAAAAGCUAUGUGUCAUCAGCCAUCAGGGAAAUGCAAACCAAGAGUUGAGGAGGUGCUCUCAUCCCAGUUAGAGGGGCUGCCAUCGAAGUCACACACGGGAAGUGCUGGUGAAGA